rnacentral:rRNA from 2 species
CCGGCAUUGAUAUCGUCAGAGACAUGAUCGUCGAGCGGACAGAUGGGAGCUUGCUCCCUGAUGUUAGCGGCGGACGGGUGAGUAACACGUGGGUAACCUGCCUGUAAGACUGGGAUAACUCCGGGAAACCGGGGCUAAUACCGGAUGCUUGUUUGAACCGCAUGGUUCAAACAUAAAAGGUGGCUUCGGCUACCACUUACAGAUGGACCCGCGGCGCAUUAGCUAGUUGGUGAGGUAACGGCUCACCAAGGCAACGAUGCGUAGCCGACCUGAGAGGGUGAUCGGCCACACUGGGACUGAGACACGGCCCAGACUCCUACGGGAGGCAGCAGUAGGGAAUCUUCCGCAAUGGACGAAAGUCUGACGGAGCAACGCCGCGUGAGUGAUGAAGGUUUUCGGAUCGUAAAGCUCUGUUGUUAGGGAAGAACAAGUACCGUUCGAAUAGGGCGGUACCUUGACGGUACCUAACCAGAAAGCCACGGCUAACUACGUGCCAGCAGCCGCGGUAAUACGUAGGUGGCAAGCGUUGUCCGGAAUUAUUGGGCGUAAAGGGCUCGCAGGCGGUUUCUUAAGUCUGAUGUGAAAGCCCCCGGCUCAACCGGGGAGGGUCAUUGGAAACUGGGGAACUUGAGUGCAGAAGAGGAGAGUGGAAUUCCACGUGUAGCGGUGAAAUGCGUAGAGAUGUGGAGGAACACCAGUGGCGAAGGCGACUCUCUGGUCUGUAACUGACGCUGAGGAGCGAAAGCGUGGGGAGCGAACAGGAUUAGAUACCCUGGUAGUCCACGCCGUAAACGAUGAGUGCUAAGUGUUAGGGGGUUUCCGCCCCUUAGUGCUGCAGCUAACGCAUUAAGCACUCCGCCUGGGGGAGUACGGUUCGCAAGACUGAAACUCAAAGGAAUUGACGGGGGC